rnacentral:tRNA from 1 species
AAGGGUAUAGCUCAGUGGUAGAGCGCAUGCUUAGCAUGCAUGAGGUCCUGGGUUCAAUCCCCAGUACCUCCA